AAGGAUGACCAGCUGCAACAU
rnacentral:siRNA from 1 species